UGUCACAGGUAAAUAUAACUUUUGCAACUUCAUUUGUUUUGUGUCUCUGUUUUGCCAGCCUUUUUCGAAAUAUAACUUGAGCAAAUAAUCACCAAUUGAGUGAGCAGUUAUAUGUCGUAUAGAUAGAAAAUAAUUGAAGUUUCCAUAUAACGUAUGUAUGAUAGUUUACUAAUGAACGGAUUGAACCUAUUACACACAUUACACACAAGCAAUAUAAAGUGACAUACGGGUGUUGAAUAUUCAAUUUAUGAUAUACUACUAGCAAUAACAUUGACAGUGUAUGAUAGUCAGAACAAAUAUAAUCGUUGGGUCACUUUUAAGUGAAUAAUGAAAAUAACCUUGUAAGUAACUAAUUAUAUGAAGUCAGUUCAUCAAUUACAUGAUGAAAUGCAGUAUAAAAAUGGUACACAAAUCUAUAGGCGUGUCGUGUAUUGAAAGAACAUCAGUUAAAAAAAUCGGAACAUCCCUUUAUAGAAGAAAUAUAUAUUAUAUAGACGUAUUUAAAAAUAAAUGUCUUCAUCAUUAA